UACGGGGGGAGCAAGCGUUGUUCGGAUUUACUGGCGUAAAGGGCGCGUAGGCGGCCACCGCAAGUCGACUGUGAAAUCUCCGGGCUUAACCCGGAAAGGUCAGCCGAUACUGCGGGGCUAGAGUGCAGAAGGGGCAACUGGAAUUCUCGGUGUAGCGGCGAAAUGCGUAGAUAUCGAGAGGAACACCUGCGGCGAAGGCGGGUUGCUGGGCUGAUACUGACGCUGAGGCGCGAAAGCCAGGGGAGCGAACAGG
rnacentral:rRNA from 1 species